rnacentral:rRNA from 1 species
CUACGGGCCGCAGCAGUCGAGAAUCUUCCGCAAUGGGCGAAAGCCUGACGGAGCGACGCCGCGUGCGGGAUGAAGGCCUUCGGGUUGUAAACCGCUGUCAGUGGGGAGGAAAUGCAUGAGGGUUCUCUCUCAUGUUUGACCGAUCCGCAGAGGAAGUGCAGGCUAAGUUCGUGCCAGCAGCCGCGGUAACACGAACUGCACAAACGUUAUUCGGAAUCACUGGGCUUAAAGAGUUCGUAGGCGGCCAGGUCAGUCGGGUGUGAAAUCCCUCGGCUCAACCGAGGAACUGCGCCCGAUCUGCUUGGCUAGAGGAAGUCAGAGGUGAGCGGAACUGAUGGUGGAGCGGUGAAAUGCGUUGAUAUCAUCAGGAACACCGGUGGCGAAAGCGGCUCACUGGGGCUUUUCUGACGCUGAGGAACGAAAGCUAGGGGAGCGAACGGGAUUAGAUACCCCCGUAGUC